GGCGCUAUAGUGUAGUGGCUAUCACUCGGGAUUUUGACCUUGGAGUAUUGAAUUCCCGUAACCCAGGUUCGAACCCUGGUAGUGCCU